rnacentral:misc_RNA from 1 species
UUAUAAGCUCUAAAAAUAAGUUUAAUGGUUUGUUUAUAACAUUUUUUAAACUUAUAAGCUAAAAAAAGUAAGUUGGAUUACCAUCUUUUCAUUUUGAUACUUACAAGUUAAUUUGAUUAAGUAUUUUAUUAUAUUACACUCAUUAAUUUUUAAAAUUUUACCACAUAUUGCUAUUAAUAUAUUUUUAGUUAUUUUAAUAAUAAAUGUACUUAUAAAUUACUUUUUACCAAACAUAGUAGUUAUUUAUCAGCUACUUAUAAGUAUUUUAAACAAAUGCGUAAUUGUAUAAAAUUUUAAAUACUGGUAAGCUUAUAUUAGCUUUAUAAGUAGUAAGUGCUUAUAAACUAAUUUCACGAGCUAAAUUAAACACCCUCCUAGCUCAAUUGUAUUAGGGUUAUCUCCUGAAUUAUGAAUCAAAACCUAAACAAAAUAUGUCUGCAGUGUAAGUGGUUAAGUACUAAGCAGCUUUAGUUGCAAUUAAUGUUUUGUUUUUAAUUUUUAGUUUUUAAUCUUUUCUUUCUUAUUGAAGGGAAACAUGAGUACAUUGAAG